rnacentral:rRNA from 1 species
UCGAGGAUCUUCGGCAAUGGGCGCAAGCCUGACCGAGCGACGCCGCGUGGGCGAUGAAGGCCUUCGGGUUGUAAAGCCCUGUCGAGGGGGAGAAAAGGGUAAAACCUUGAUCUAUCCCUGGAGGAAGCACGGGCUAAGUUCGUGCCAGCAGCCGCGGUAAGACGAACCGUGCGAACGUUAUUCGGAAUCACUGGGCUUAAAGGGUGCGUAGGCGGGUUGCCAAGUCUGUGGUGAAAUCCUCCGGCUUAACCGGAGAACGGCCGUGGAUACUGGCGACCUCGAGUGGGGUAGGGGCUUGCGGAACUGUGCGUGGAGCGGUGAAAUGCGUUGAUAUGCACAGGAACUCCGGUGGCGAAGGCGGCGAGCUGGACCCUAACUGACGCUGAGGCACGAAAGCCAGGGGAGCGAACGGGAUUAGAUACCCCCGUAGUCC